rnacentral:rRNA from 1 species
AUACGGAGGAUGCGAGCGUUAUCCGGAUUUAUUGGGUUUAAAGGGUGCGUAGGCUGUGCGUUAAGUCAGGGGUGAAAUGCCGUCGCUCAACGACGGAGCUGCCCUUGAUACUGGCGUGCUGGAGUACGGAUGCCGUUGGAGGAAUGAGUGGUGUAGCGGUGAAAUGCUUAGAUAUCACUCAGAACACCGAUUGCGAAGGCAUCGGACGAAUCCGUCACUGACGCUGAGGCACGAAAGCGUGGGGAUAGAGCAGUAUUAGAUACCCUGGUAUUCCACGCCGUAAACGAUGAUGACUAACCGUCGGCGAUAGACAGCCGGUGGCCAAGCGAAAGCGAUAAGUCAUCCACCUGGGGAGUACGUCGGCAACGAUGAAACUCAAAUGAAUUGACGGGG